UGUUCCAUUGACUGUACAUACUCUGCUUCGGGUUAACCACUAUCAUCAAGUGAAAUGUGAUUACGGAUGAGAUAAUUGAAUGAUACGGGUCUCCUCAACAUUUUAAACUCUAUUUUUAAUAAACGCUUUGAAAAAAACGUCGUAUUAUUCGGGCUUUGAUUUUCAAGUUUGCAGAAGCAACAGUAAUAAGAAUGGCAUGAAGUGUCAUGAUGGUGUGUGUGGUAUGGGUUUAGGCCCCCAGUUAACCCCUCUUUUGAGGCAAACGGAGAUUAAUCUCAAAUUCAUCGUUUUCCAACAAUGUCUUGUUUCUACGCCCACGUUUAAGUGAGAUCUUCCCUUAGCGUUGAACAUACAGAAAAACUUCGCCACAGGGUUAGGAUAUAUAUAGGUUAGAUAUAUUUUGCUAAUUCUAGUUGUUUUCAGAUCUCGUGCCCGUAGACUGACGGGCUUUUUCCUACUUUGUUGGAUUUAAAGUAUGCCAAUAUCGUUCCUGAUGCUCUGCUGCGAUAGUUAUGUUCACAUGCACAGUUUCUAGAUAAUUCCAGAGUGUAUAUCGUUGUAAAUCAAUGUCAAGCACACGAAGCUCAGAUAUGUAUGCAUAGCAGCUCAAUUGAAUGUACUUUUAUGAGAAGUGUUCUGAAGUGUUAUUUUGAAAUAAAGUUACAUCAGUAAUAUAACGAUAAAAUUAAGUAAUAUUUGUCUCCCAAACAAGAGCUGUCAAUUGUAUUUUUGGCAAUCCUGAAUAAUACAGCAAUGUCCCGUCUGUCAAUAUUCCAGGAUUCUUUGUUAGGUAUGUGAGCAAAAUUUGUUCACUAAUUCUAAGCUUUGUUUCAUGUUAGUAUAUAAAUAAGUAGUUAUUUAUGAAGUUUACUUUCAACCACUUUCAAUUGUCCAAUAAAAUAAUAAUAGUAUUCUUGAACCAGUAA